rnacentral:rRNA from 1 species
GACGUAGGGGGCGAGCGUUGUCCGGAUUUAUUGGGCGUAAAGCGCGCGUAGGCGGCCGCGCAAGUCGGAUGUGAAAACCCGGGGCUCAACCCCGGGCCGUGCAUUCGAUACUGCGCGGCUCGAGACAGGUAGGGGAGAUCGGAAUUCCUGGUGUAGCGGUGAAAUGCGCAGAUAUCAGGAGGAACACCGGUGGCGAAGGCGGCCGGCUGGGCCGUUCCUGACGCUGAGGCGCGAAGGCGUGGGGAGCGAACGGGG